UACGUAGGGUGCGAGCGUUAAUCGGAAUUACUGGGCGUAAAGCGUGCGCAGGCGGUUUUGUAAGCCAGAUGUGAAAUCCCAGGGCUUAACCUUGGAACUGCAUUUGUGACUGCAUAGCUAGAGUACGGUAGAGGGGGAUGGAAUUCCGCGUGUAGCAGUGAAAUGCGUAGAUAUGCGGAGGAACACCGAUGGCGAAGGCAAUCCCCUGGACCUGUACUGACGCUCAUGCACGAAAGCGUGGGGAGCAAACAGG
rnacentral:rRNA from 1 species